GCCAUUUUGGUUUUGCACUUAAUAGUUAAUAUUUUAUUAUACUGAGUAGUAAAAUCACACAUUAUAUAACUGGCACAAAGAGGUCUGCGGACAACUACUGGACUCUUGGGAAGCACAUGACUCUUCCACUGGAAGAAGUUUGCAGGCAUUUGCUGGAGGAGUAGGUGUACUGCAAGCUCUCUGGAUGUCAUGGGCAUGCCUCCAUGGGGAAAAGAAGAGUGUCUCUUCACUUAGGGGAGAGGGGCAGUUGUUCUGCCUCCAUGGAUAGGAAAGCAUGCAUCUCUUGCACUGGGGUAAAAUAUUCUACUUUAAAGUAUUUCCCCAACCCAAGCACUUGUCUGCCUGCUGAGGAAAGAAUGGAGUCGCUUAAACCCUUCCCAAUAGGAGGAAGAUGGAAGGAUCUCUGUUUCCUUCUGUGAUAAAUAAUGUGAAAACACAAGGAAAGUACACCGUUUUUUACUGCCAAGAAGUUCUCAGAUGUAGAAACAAGAAGGAGCCAGUCAUCACUGCUCAUGAGAACAGGGACAUGGUGUUAAUUUGAAGAAGGAAAACUAAGCUCUCUUCCCACUCUGCUUAAAGGAACAUAGUCUGAAUCCAUUCUCAAGUGCUUUGGAAAUCUUCUGGCUAUUUUCAAGGUGCUCGAGAUCCAGCCCAGGGAAACAUAUCCUGACCAUGGGUAGAAAGGACGGUGUGCCCAUUUUAGACCGAUUUGUAGCAACAAGACUCUCCAGGUACAGAGAGUGCCAGCAAAAUACAGUUUUAAUGAAAUGGUUAGCUUUUCAUAUAAAUGUAAUGGAAUUGCCUUAUCUGAAAUCUCAAAGUCAUUAGGGGCAAUUUAUGAAGAAAAUAUAUCAUUCAAUCUUAUUCCUUUUGCAGCAGGUAGCAAUCAAUAGUCUCACCACUUCCUAGUUACUAAAAAGAGAAGCCCCAUAAACUCAUGGAAGCAGCUGUUGUGAUAUUUACUUGAUGCUGAUAAGAGUAAGCAAAAUUUCAUUAUAUGAUAUAUAUAAAAAUAAAAUAUGUAUCUAUAAAUAUAUUUACUUAGAUAUAAAUAUCUAUAAAUAUUUAUGAUGCAUAUGUAUUUAUGGAUAUAAGUAGUUUAUAUGUACAUAUAUAUAUAAAAGAUGUACUUCUAUAUGAUGGAGCACUCACUUUAUUUCACCUUCUUUUUUUUAUUUUUUAUUUAUUUAUGA